CCGCCGGCGACCGGCGCACGGGUGAGUAACGCGUAUGCAACCUGCCCGUUUCAGCGGGAUAACCCGGAGAAAUCCGGCCUAAUACCGCAUGUGGCCGAGGGGAGGCAUCUUCUUUCGGCCAAAGGAGGCGACUCCGGAGACGGAUGGGCAUGCGUGACACUAGCUUGUUGGCGGGGUAACGGCCCACCAAGGCGACGAUGUCUAGGGGUUCUGAGAGGAAGGUCCCCCACACUGGUACUGAGACACGGACCAGACUCCUACGGAAGGCAGCAG
rnacentral:rRNA from 1 species